CUCCCUGUUUGAUUUUAAGGUUCUGUAAACUCUUAAAAUUUGUUUCAGUGCAUGCCCAGGGCUUCCCCAGCCCCAGCAGCUUGUUGCUUAUCUCCUGCCUAAACCUGAUGAAGAUCCAGAAAUGAAGCAUUGCCAGGCUGCUUCAGGGUCUGACACAUGCUGACAGGACCUCACAAAGAUGUUGUGGCUGCUUUCUUUACAGUUGCAGCAGAGGGGAGGAGGCAGUAGCCAUACAGAUUUCAGCAUUUAAGGAGGAAACAGGCUAUCUGGAUCGAGCACUCUCCUUAGCCUGAGGGAUGCAAACCCACACCACCUACCUUCAAGAGAGUCAUGUAUGAACGAAACCAUAGGUUAUUUGAGGGAACAGAAAUAAAACAGUGGAGAGCAGAAAGGACAAAAAGAAGAGUUUAUCUGACCAUUUGUGCAAGGAAUCGAAUCAUAAGUCUCCAAAAUGGGAGACUGAAUACUGAAUAUUCAAGCCACCUUCAUGUUAUGAAUGUUUUGGACUAAGGAC
rnacentral:lncRNA from 1 species